UCCUCUGUAGCUCAGUUGGUAGAGCAUGGUGCUUGCAAUGCCAGAGUUGUGGGUUCUUUCCCACAGGGGAC
rnacentral:tRNA from 1 species